GCAUGCCCGGCCGAGUGGUUAAGUGUUUGUUUGUUAAGCAUGAGGUCUCCGGUUCGAUCCUGGUCACGCGCA
rnacentral:tRNA from 1 species